CACACUUCUGUGAUUUUACAGCAUGGCAGGGACAGACACACAAGUGUGUGUGGCCUGAGUGCUUCUUGAACUCAAGGAUUCCUGUGCCAGGAUCCGUAGCUGAGCCCAACAUUUCGCUGUGACUUCAUGGCAGUCAAAGAGGGAUGAUGAUUUAUGUGUCUGUUGUUAUCUGACAUUUUAAGAAGUCACCAGUUCUUUAGGAGAUGAAUUCGUUCUCCAGUAUAAAAGUGUAAGAGAAGCUGAUCCCGGGAUACUGAAAAGCUAAGGCAGGACUUUUCUUGAGCAUACACAAAAGGAGAGGCUGGACACAGCGGCUCACGCCUAUAAUCCCGGCACUUUGGGAGGCUGAGGCAGGUGGAUGCUUGAGCCCAGGAGUUAGAGGCUGCUGUGAUCAUGCCACUGCAUUCUAUCUAGCCUGGGCGACAGAGCAAGACCCUGUCCCUUUAAAAAGAAAAAGGAGAGAGAUGUGCUUAUAUGAAGAGAAAGGUCAUCUCCCACAAGAGUACACAGAGCAAAGAGAAAAGCUGAAGAUGGAAAUGACCGGCACAUUUUAGGACUCUCCUAAACUUCGUCAGUGAAGAAACUGCUAUACUAUUUCGAAUGGAACACCUGGAGAAAGAUCACCAGCUGCUUCCCCACCACCAGCUCCUCAGGACUCCAGGAGACAGAAACCUAAUAGCAAGAGAUCAAAUAAUAAAC
rnacentral:lncRNA from 10 species